rnacentral:rRNA from 1 species
CAUUACCGAGUUUACAACUCCCAAACCCCUGUGAACAUACCAAUUGUUGCCUCGGCGGAUCAGCCCGCUCCCGGUAAAACGGGACGGCCCGCCAGAGGACCCCUAAACUCUGUUUCUAUAUGUAACUUCUGAGUAAAACCAUAAAUAAAUCAAAACUUUCAACAACGGAUCUCUUGGUUCUGGCAUCGAUGAAGAACGCAGCAAAAUGCGAUAAGUAAUGUGAAUUGCAGAAUUCAGUGAAUCAUCGAAUCUUUGAACGCACAUUGCGCCCGCCAGUAUUCUGGCGGGCAUGCCUGUUCGAGCGUCAUUUCAACCCUCAAGCCCUCGGGUUUGGUGUUGGGGAUCGGCGAGCCCUUGCGGCAAGCCGGCCCCGAAAUAUAGUGGCGGUCUCGCUGCAGCUUCCAUUGCGUAGUAGUAAAACCCUCGCAACUGGUACGCGGCGCGGCCAAGCCGUUAAACCCCCAACUUCUGAAUGUUGACCUCGGAUCAGGUAGGAAUACCCGCUGAACUUAAGCAUAUCAAUA